rnacentral:tRNA from 1 species
GCCUAGGUGGCUCCGUUGGUUGAGCAUCUGACUCUGGCUCAGGUUAUGAUCUCACGGUUAGUGGGUUCGAGCCCCACAUUGGGCU